rnacentral:rRNA from 1 species
CGGGUGAGUAACACGUAUGCAAUCCACCUGUAACAGGGGGAUAACCCGGAGAAAUCCGGACUAAUACCCCAUAAUAUGGGCGCUCCGCAUGGAGAGUCCAUUAAAGAGAGCAAUCUUGGUUACAGACGAGCAUGCGCUCCAUUAGCCAGUUGGCGGAGUAACGGCCCACCAAGGCGACGAUGGAUAGGGGUUCUGAGAGGAAGGUUCCCCACAUUGGAACUGAGACACGGUCCAA